UACAGAGGUCCCGAGCGUUGUUCGGAUUCAUUGGGCGUAAAGGGUGCGUAGGCGGCGGGGCAAGUCUGAUGUGAAAUCCCGGGGCUCAACUCCGGGAUCUGCCGGUGGGUACGGGCAGACUAGAGUGAUGUAGGGGAGACUGGAAUUCCUGGUGUAGCGGUGAAAUGCGCAGAUAUCAGGAGGAACACCGAUGGCGAAGGCGGGUCUCUGGGCAGCAACUGACGUGGAGGAGCGAAAGCGUGGGGAGCGAACAGG
rnacentral:rRNA from 1 species